rnacentral:rRNA from 1 species
CACGGGGGGAGCAAGCGUUGUUCGGAAUCACUGGGCGUAAAGGGCGCGUAGGCGGUCUGCUAAGCGUGCGGUGAAAGCCUGGGGCUCAACCCCAGGUCUGCCGUGCGAACUGGUGGACUGGAGCACUGUAGAGGCAGGUGGAAUUCCGGGUGUAGCGGUGGAAUGCGUAGAGAUCCGGAAGAACACCAGUGGCGAAGGCGGCCUGCUGGGCAGUUGCUGACGCUGAGGCGCGACAGCGUGGGGAGCAAACAGG